rnacentral:rRNA from 1 species
UACGAAGGGGGCUAGCGUUGCUCGGAAUCACUGGGCGUAAAGGGUGCGUAGGCGGGUCUUUAAGUCAGGGGUGAAAUCCUGGAGCUCAACUCCAGAACUGCCUUUGAUACUGAAGAUCUUGAGUUUGGGAGAGGUGAGUGGAACUGCGAGUGUAGAGGUGAAAUUCGUAGAUAUUCGCAAGAACACCAGUGGCGAAGGCGGCUCACUGGCCCGAUACUGACGCUGAGGCACGAAAGCGUGGGGAGCAAUCAGG